GAUGAACGCUGGCGGCGUGCUUAACACAUGCAAGUCGAACGAGAAGUGAAGACGGAAACCUUCGGGCGGAAGGCUUUAUUUCGAGUGGCGGACGGGUGAGUAACGCGUGGGUAACCUGCCUCAUACAGGGGGAUAACAGUUGGAAACGACUGUUAAUACCGCAUAAGACCACAGCACCGCAUGGUGCGGGGGUAAAAACUCCGGUGGUAUGAGAUGGACCCGCGUUCGAUUAGCCAGUUGGCGGGGUAACGGCCCACCAAAGCGACAAUCGAUAGCCGAUCUGAGAGGAUGACCGGCCACAUUGGGACUGAGACACGGCCCAAACUCCUACGGGAGGCAGCAGUGGGGAAUAUUGCACAAUGGGGGAAACCCUGAUGCAGCGACGCCGCGUGAGUGAAGAAGUAUUUCGGUAUGUAAAGCUCUAUCAGCAGGGAAGAAAAUGACGGUACCUGAGUAAGAAGCCCCGGCUAACUACGUG
rnacentral:rRNA from 1 species